rnacentral:tRNA from 2 species
GCGGAUGUGGCGGAAUUGGCAGACGCGCAUGGUUCAGGUCCAUGUGAAAGCAAUUUCAUGGGGGUUCAAGUCCCUUCAUCCGCACCA